UUGCUUCUGUAGUACAUAUGCUAAAAUUGGAACAAUACUGAGAUUAGCAUAUUCCCUGCAUUAACAAUGAUAGAUGAAUUAAUGAAGUAUUCCAUAUUUUA
rnacentral:snRNA from 1 species